rnacentral:rRNA from 1 species
GACGAACGCUGGCGGCGUGCUUAACACAUGCAAGUCGAGCGGUAAGGCCCUUUCGGGGUACACGAGCGGCGAACGGGUGAGUAACACGUGGGUGACCUGCCCUCAGCUCUGGGAUAAGCCUGGGAAACCGGGUCUAAUACUGGAUAUGACUCCAUGACGCAUGUUGUGGGGUGGAAAGCCUUGUGCGGCUGAGGAUGGGCCCGCGGCCUAUCAGCUUGUUGGUGGGGUGAUGGCCUACCAAGGCGACGACGGGUAGCCGGCCUGAGAGGGCGACCGGCCACACUGGGACUGAGACACGGCCCAGACUCCUACGGGAGGCAGCAGUGGGGAAUCUUGCGCAAGUGGGCGAAAGCCUGACGCAGCGACGCCGCGUGAGGGAUGACGGCC